AACGAACGCUGGCGGCAGGCCUAACACAUGCAAGUCGAGCGAGGACUUCGGUUCUAGCGGCGGACGGGUGAGUAACGCGUGGGAAUAUGCCCUUCUCUACGGAAUAGCCCUGGGAAACUGGGAGUAAUACCGUAUACGCCCUAUCGGGGAAGGAUGUAUCGGAGAAGGAUCAGCCCGCGUUGGAUUAGGUAGUUGGUGGGGUAAUGGCCUACCAAGCCGACGAUCCAUAGCUGGUUUGAGAGGAUGAUCAGCCACACUGGGACUGAGACACGGCCCAGACUCCGACGGGAGGCAGCAGGGGGGAAUCUUAGACAAUGGGGGCAACACGAAGCUAGCCAUGCCGCGUGAGUGAUGAAGGCCGGAGGGUUGUAAAGCUCUUUCAGCUGGGAAGAUAAUGACGGUACCAGAAGAAGAAGCCCCGGCUAACUCCGU
rnacentral:rRNA from 1 species